rfam:Otolemur garnettii contig058381, whole genome shotgun sequence.
GCCGGGCGUUGUGGCGGGCGCCUGUGGUCCCAGCUACUUGGGAGGUGGAGGCAGGAGACUCGCUUGAGUCCAGGAGUUGGAGGUUGCUAUUAGAUGUAAUGCCACGGCACUCUACCCAGGGGGAUCGCUUGAGGCUCUGUCUCAAAAAAAAAAAAAAAAGAAAAGAAAAUUAACUUCAGCAUUUUUUUUUUUGAGACAGAGCCUCAAGCUAUCCCCCUAGGUAGAGUGCUCUGGCAUCACAGCUCACGGCAACCUCCAACUCCUGGGCUCAAGCGAGUCUCCUGCCUCAG